UACGUAGGGUGCAAGCGUUGUCCGGAAUUAUUGGGCGUAAAGAGCUCGUAGGCGGUUUGUCGCGUCUGCUGUGAAAACUCGGGGCUUAACUCCGGGCCUGCAGUGGGUACGGGCAGACUAGAGUGCGGUAGGGGAGACUAGAAUUCCUGGUGUAGCGGUGAAAUGCGCAGAUAUCAGGAGGAACACCGGUGGCGAAGGCGGGUCUCUGGACAGUUCCUGACGCUGAGGCACGAAGGUCAGGGGAGCAAACGGG
rnacentral:rRNA from 1 species